UAAGCCCUUACAAAUAUUAGUCUAUUUGCGA
rnacentral:piRNA from 1 species